GGCUCCUGAGGAAGAAGUCGUGAGAGGUCCCAAAGCCGCACGCGUCGUCUGGAGAAAGCAGAUCAAGAUCAACCGCCGGAUACAGUACUCCAACAUCAUAACUCAUCAGAGUAUAUAGUCAAGGUGUCAUUUGCUCUUUCCGAUAACUUUUUAAUGAUACCACAUUCCCAGAAGUUGUGGAAAAAGGUUGCCGAAGAGUGAAAGCAUUUCAUACAACUUCCAGUCUCUUCCUCUACGAAAUGUCGUCUCUGUGCCUGGGAGAUAUAUGCCCUGUACACAGUUUUAACAUGAAUCUCUUGUAAAGAGGAUGUCUUCAGUAUUUGUAAUGUUUUAUCAUAAUGUUGGAAUAUGUAUUCCGAAUUUGUAAUGCUUGGAAUAAAUCUACACCAAGAA